CCAGCAAAAGAAAAGAAAAAACACACCCGUCCAACCCCCAAUCUCACCCUUCUCUCUCUCACCACUCACAUAGAACCCGUGCGCCGCCGCCUCCGACCUAAACCUAACUCGACCGCGCCGCCGCCCGUCCGCUUGUUCCCUCGCGCCACAUCAACUCCAACCCUGACCUUCCUCCCCGCAGGGCACCAUCCGCCCAGGAGCAGCAGCUCCAUCCGCUACGCUAAGGAGCAGCAGCUCCAUCCGCUACGCUAAGGAGUAGCAGCGCUGUCAAGCGCCACCGUACAGGAGCAGCAGCGCCGUCAAGCGCCACCAGACAGGAGCAGCAGAACCGUCAACAGUAAGGAGAAGCAAGGCCGUCGGCCGCCGAGGAUCCAACGCUGGUUUUCCUCCACCUGUGGCCUCUGUUCCGGCUGAUUUCCUUCCCUCCGCCCGGCCUGAGGUGGUGGGGGCAAGUGAAGAAUUUACAUCGGUUCUGUUACAGGAACAGAGGAUGGUCCUCCUAAGCUGCUUAAUGGUACAAUUUGUAAUGUCAUUAUGAACAUUGGAUGCAUUAGACUGUCAUAAUACCUAGUUUCUAUCGAAAAGUAAGUGUGUACGUGCAACGCACGUCGCACAUCUCAAUCAAACCAUAUCAAAUUUUGCGGGUAUAAAAUUUUGAAUUCAAACUUUAGGAUGACAGAAAUCAAUGGCAAUAGAUUGGCUGAAGAACUUCUCCACAAAGAAUGUAAGGGUGUAGCGUAUUUAGUCUAUUCCUACAAAGA